AUAAUUUACCAGUUUUUCUAAACUCCGUCAAUCAAAGAGAGCAUCAUCCAGAAAAGAGAAAACUGUCACAUGGACACAUGAGUUUUUCUUUUAAAAUUAUAUGCAAACUAAUAAAGAAAAUUAUUUACAUAUACAUAUAUUUAUAUGCAAACUAAAAAAGAAAAUUACAUAAUUAGUUACAUAUAUGUAUAUAUAUAUAUAUAUAUAUAUAUAUAUAUUUACAAAUAUACAAAGUUGCUGCGAAGACGACGAAGAUCACACAACAGGAUUCUCUUCAUAAAAGUAGAGCCUUGAAAAAAUGUUUGGCCAAACGUUCUCAUCUUCACUGGACAAAAUCUUGAAACAUUAUUAAGUAUUUCACCUUUCUCACAUACAUAAAAGCUUCGGUUGGACGCGACAUGCAAGUAAGAACCACCCUCCAAAUGCACAUGCAUGCAUGCGUCCAUGAUCAGUGGAUAGGUACCCCACAUCAAACGAUAAACAACUUAUGCAUGUAACAGAUCACAUCAGUUAGAGCAGGGAGAAGAUCGUUUAUUAUAGCUGAUCUCGUCAUUUUCGAAAUCCUCAGCAGCUUCCUCGGUUAUUGUUUCUAGAGUAGGCGUGUUCGAAGGUUUCUUAGGAAAAAUUACAGGUGCCGGGGCAACCUCGAUCCAGGAACUUAGCUUUCUCAUUCCCUUGCUCAUUGGGACACACACAUAUAUAUACUUUGACAACAAUGAUUGAUCUUCCUCCUCAAUCACAAUAUGCAAUCUUCUGUAGCAAAACGAAAAUAUUUUCUCUCCUUCUCCUAUGUCUAGAAAGAGGAGAGAGAGAGAGAGAGAGAGAGAUUUUUUUCCUAAGAGGCUUUUUACAAGGGUUCAGGAUUUGCUGUUUGCUAUGUGUUAAUUGGCAAAGAUCUUAUGUCUAUAUAUAUAUAUACACACACUUGUUGGAACUUGGAAAAAGAGAUGGAUGGAAUUAUAGGUAGGAGAUAUUUGGAGAAGGCAUAAAUAGGAGCAUGUAUACCUGGACGGUUUUCGGGAAAUACACGUGGAGAAAGAAAUAGUUUUCGGAAGCUUCCUUUAUGACAACAUUAACAUAAAAAUCUAGGAAUCAUCUAACCACAAACGUGUCCUAUAAUAAUUUCAUUGUCGGUUUCUAAAGCCCUACAACCCCUAAACGAAUUACCUGUUCCAGAGGCAAAAUAGAAAACGUCAACACCUCCUCACUUUUCUCCUCUCCAUCAAAAUAUUCGUCUUUUCUUAUCCCAACUGUUGACAAUUUCGGCAUAGCCUCUAGAAUAUACCGGAAUAUAGAUUCUGAAUUUGGAAUUAGAAUUCCUAAUUCCUCAUCUAAUAUUAUUAUUUUCUUGUUCUGUUCUUUAAACAUGUUACAGAUAUAUAUGUUUCUUAAGUUUUGGGCGAUAUAC
rnacentral:lncRNA from 1 species